rnacentral:rRNA from 1 species
AUUGAACGCUGGCGGCGUGCCUAACACAUGCAAGUCGAGCGAGAAAAGGGGAGCAAUCCCCUGAGUAAAGCGGCGCACGGGUGAGUAACACGUGGGUAAUCUGCCCUGAAGUGGGGAAUAACACCGGGAAACCGGUGCUAAUACCGCAUAUGAUCACGGUGUCUGCGGACACAGGGAUGAAAGGAGCAAUUCGCUUCAGGAGGAGCCCGCGGCUGAUUAGCUAGUUGGUGAGGUAAUGGCUCACCAAGGCAACGAUCAGUAUCCGGUCUGAGAGGACGGUCGGACACACUGGAACUGAGACACGGUCCAGACUCCUACGGGAGGCAGCAGUGGGGAAUUUUUCGCAAGGGGGGCAACCCUGACGAAGCAACGCCGCGUGGGUGAUGAAGUCUCUUGGGACGUAAAACCCUUUCGACAGGGAAGAAACCGCAAGGUUGACGGUACCUGUAGAAGAAGCCCCGGCUAACUCCGUGCCAGCCGCCGCUGUAAGAC